CCUCCCAAACCGGGGCGAUGUUGCUGGAAGGAGCACGUUGAAACCCAACCCGCAAGUAUUCCGCCCAAAUAUUUAGUUAAAGUAACCCUGCGGGUUAAUAAACUAAACAGAGAGGCAGCCCAGGCACAACGGCCGCAAUGAAAACCAGGCUACGUAAACGAAGGGAAGUUUAUAAGAAUCCCGGCGAAGGCAGAAGAAGAGCGCCGAGGAGCGCGGCAGGCCGGACGGCCCACUUAAUGGGAAGCAGACGAAAAAGUGAAACCACAUGGCCGGGGUCAGCGGGAUCAGAGAACCACCGCAGACUGCAAAGGCCCGGCCGACGGGUGCGAAGAAACCGAGUCUAUAAACAGAACUUGGCCACAGCCCCUGCGCGCCCGCCACUCGCCAGCAAGCCGGGAAGGGGGGGGGGGACGGGUUACGGGACCGCGCCGCCCCCCCGGAUCAAGGCCAACCCUUAUUUGUAACAAUGAUAUUGCUUUUAAACAUUUAUUUGUAUUAUUUAAACGUUCCCUUUAAUUUGUUGGGGGGGGGGGGGUCACGCGCCAGAUCGACACCGCCCUUUGCAAAGUUGGAGUGGUUCAGUCGUCCGGGGCAGGGACCUGCCUCGCUCUCGGAGAAGGAGGAUCCUUUGGAGAAGCCAGGCGAAGCGCAGCUCGACGGGGAGCGCUUGCGAUAGCGGGGCACGUGCGAGCCCCCCAAACCCCAGCCACGCACUCGGGAGGCAGGAAAGCGAUGCAGGCUGGAGAGCAACGCAGACCCACAGCGUGACUAUGGGACACAACAUCUGAGAAUGAUGCAAAACAGGACAGAUCGUGGGGAGUGGAGAAGACACAGGAGAGAGAACUUUCCAUUAGAGGACUGCCUCUCUGAAGAGUCCCGCUUUACGAACCUCGAUUCUCCACCCCCCCCCUCCCCCAUCAGACCCGAUGUAAAAACCAAGCGCAGUUUUGAGACCCGUCCUGAGUCUGGAUAUCGCGCCACUAUUGCUUCAAUUAAUGAAGAACCACAAUAUUGUUAAUAUGAUGUAUUCCUUAUUCCUAAAUAAUGAUAAUAAAAAAGUGGAUUCAUAA